rnacentral:rRNA from 1 species
AGGACGAACGCUGGCGGCGUGCUUAACACAUGCAAGUCGAACGAGGCGCUUGCGCCUAGUGGCGAACGGGUGAGUAACACGUGAGCAACCUGCCCUUGGCUCUGGGAUAGCCUCCGGAAACGGGGAUUAAUACCGGACAUGACCUUCUCCUGCAUGGGGGAGGGUGGAAAGUUUUUCGGCCAGGGAGGGGCUCGCGGCCUAUCAGCUUGUUGGGGGGGUAACGGCCCACCAAGGCGACGACGGGUAGCCGG